rnacentral:lncRNA from 1 species
AUGUUUGUUAAAUGUACGAGGACUUGGGAGAUCUUCCAUGAAAAGCUGGCGCCUUUUCCAAAGGGGUCUUCGCCGUGUUCUUUUGGGGAAACGGACUCAACGCUGCCUUCUGUCUGCGUGCCUGCGGUCCCCAACGGCAGGAAGACCUGUGGCCGCAGUGCAGAGGAUGCUGUGACACUCACCGUGUUUUCUCUUGUCUCAUCACAGGUGGACGGGGCGGACGAUGAAAUCUCUUGGAGCUUGGAGAGUGUGUGUGAGAGCGACCUCGCUGACAGCAACCUCGCAGAAAGUGAUCGAGACUCGGUGGCGGAGCGCACCGACUGCCGCCAGGAUGAGGAGGCUGCAGACUGUUGCUUUGGGAGCAAAGGAUCGUGCUUCAAAAGUCUGAGGACAAGUUUGUCCUCUGCGAGCUUGGCUAGAAUAAUUCCCCGUGGCCACACAACAGGGUGCACCUUGCCACUGAGCCAGAUGAAGGAACUCACGACGACGAUGUUGUGGAGGCCGGUGGGAGUGAGAAGACUGAGGCAAAGCCCCGGGCUGGGGGACAUGAGGACGAGGCGGCCCCAGUACCUGAGGUGGAGGUGGAGGAGGAGGCGGGCCAGCCCCGUGAAAAUGGCCAGGAGGAGUCCUUAG